rnacentral:rRNA from 1 species
UUAAGUUACUAAGGGCAUACGGUGGAUGCCUUGGCGUUUCGAGUCGAAGAAGGACGCGAUAAGCUGCGAAAAGCCAUGGGGAGCCGCAAGUAGGCUGCGAUCCAUGGGUAUCCGAAUGGGGCAACCCGGUACAAGUCAUGUUGUACCAUCCGAAAGGAAGACAAACCCGGUGAACUGAAACAUCUAAGUAACCGGAGGAAAAGGAAUCAAAAGAGAUUCCCUCAGUAGCGGCGAGCGAAAGGGGAAGCGCCCAAACCGAAAGCCUUCGGGCCUUCGGGGUUGCGGACCGGAACAAAGAGAAACAGACCUAGCAGAACCGUCUGGGAAGGCGGGGCACAGAGGGUGAGACCCCCGUAGGCAAAAGGUUUGCGAUCCGUCCGGUAUCCAGAGUACCACGGGACACGAGGAACCUUGUGGGAAGCAGGGUGGACCACCAUCCAAGGCAAAAUACGACGAAACGACCGAUAGCGCAUAGUACCGUGAGGGAAAGGUGAAAAGAACCGCGGGAGCGGAGUGAAAGAGAACCUGAAACCGUAUGUCUACAAGCAGUCGAAGCACGAUAUAGGUGCAACGGCGUGCCUAUUGAAGAAUGAACCGGCGAGUUAAUUUAGUUGGCGAGGUUAAGCAGGAAAUGCGGAGCCGCAGCGAGAGCGAGUCUUAAUAGGGCGGCAGUCAGCUGGAUUAGACCCGAAACCACAGUGAUCUAUGCAUGGCCAGGUUGAAGCUCAGGUAAGAAUGAGUGGAGGACCGAACCCGUGAGUGUUGAAAAACUUUGGGAUGAGCUGUGCAUAGGGGUGAAAUGCCAAUCGAACGUGGAGAUAGCUGGUUCUCCCCGAAAUAGCUUUAGGGCUAGCCUCAGGCGACACAUACAGACGGUAGAGCACUGAUCGGGCAAGGGGGCGUAAAGCCUACCGAACCCAGUCAAACUACGAAUGGCUGUAUGCAAGGCCUGGGAGUCAGAAUGCGAGUGAUAAGACCCGUAUUCAAGAGGGAAACAGCCCAGACCGCCGACUAAGGUCCCCAAUGCUGUACUAAGUGGAAAAGGAUGUAGGACUUCCCAGACAACCAGGAUGUUGGCUCAGAAGCAGCCACCAUUGAAAGAGUGCGUAAUAGCUCACUGGUCGAGAGGCCCUGCGCCGAAAAUAUCCGGGGCUCAAGUACAGAACCGAAGUCGCGGCAAGCAGCAAUGCUUGGGUAGGGGAGCGUACCAUAUAGGAUGAAGGCUGACCGGAAGGACAGCUGGACCGUAUGGCAGAGAGAAUGCCGGUAUGAGUAGCGAAACGGACGGUGAGAAUCCGUCCCACCGAAAGCCUAAGGGAUCCUGAGCAACGCUCGUCGACUCAGGGUAAGUCGGGACCUAAGCCGAGGCAAAAAGCAUAGGCGAUGGACAACAGGCGAACAUUCCUGUACUGCAUGCAGCCGUAUGAGGAUGGAGUGACGCAGCAAGGAGCUUGCGCGCGCGAAUGGAAGAGCGCGUCGAACGCGGUAGGCUGUAUGGGAGGCAAAUCCCCCAUACAAAGCUGAGAGCGGAUAGGGAGCCGAUUCCGCAAGGAAGAAGCGAAGGGAAGCGUACUACACUGCCGAGAAAAACUUCUAACGAGGCGACAUGCACCCGUACCAAAACCGACACAGGUAGGCGGGGAGAGAAUCCUGAGGUGCGCGGGAAAACCCUCGUUAAGGAACUCGGCAAAAUGCAUCCGUAACUUCGGGAGAAGGAUGGCCGGAGCUGGUGAAGCCUGUACAGGCAGAGCUGGAGCCGGCGGCAGAAGAGAAGCCCAAGCGACUGUUUACCACAAACACAGGUGCCUGCCAAAGAGCAAUCUGACGUAUAGGUGCUGACACCUGCCCGGUGCUGGAAGGUUAAGGAGAGGAGUUAGGCUAAAGCUAAAGCCCCGAACUGAAGCCCCAGUAAACGGCGGCCGUAACUAUAACGGUCCUAAGGUAGCGAAAUUCCUUGUCGGGUAAGUUCCGACCCGCACGAAAGGUGUAACGAUUUGGGCACUGUCUCAACGAGGGACCCGGUGAAAUUGAAAUACCUGUGAAGAUGCAGGUUACCCGCGACUGGACAGAAAGACCCCAUGGAGCUUUACUGCAACCUGACAUUGGUUUUUGGCAUGUAACGUACAGGAUAGUUGGGAGACUGAGAGAUGCUGCCGCCAGGCAGCAAGGAGUCACUGUUGGGAUACCAACCUUUACGUGCUAGGGAUCUAACCCAGAGGGCAACGACCUCGGGGACAGUAUCAGGCGGGCAGUUUGACUGGGGCGGUCGCCUCCGAAAGCGUAACGGAGGCGUCCAAAGGUUCCCUCAGCGCGGACAGAAAUCGCGCGAAGAGUACAAAGGCAGAAGGGAGCUUGACUGCGAGACAGACAAGUCGAGCAGGUACGAAAGUAGGGCUUAGUGAUCCGGUGGAAAGAGAGUGGAAUUGCCAUCGCUCAACGGAUAAAAGCUACCCUGGGGAUAACAGGCUAAUCUCUCCCAAGAGUCCAUAUCGACGGGGAGGUUUGGCACCUCGAUGUCGGCUCAUCACAUCCUGGGGCUGAAGCAGGUUCCAAGGGUUGGGCUGUUCGCCCAUUAAAGUGGUACGUGAGCUGGGUUCAGAACGUCGUGAGACAGUUCGGUCCAUAUCCAUCGCGGGCGGAAGAUACAUGAGGGAGGCUGCUCCUAGUACGAGAGGACCGGAGUGGACGGACCGCCGGUGUACCAGUUGUCACGCCAGUGGCAUGGCUGGAUAGCUGCGUCCGGAAGGGAUAAACGCUGAAAGCAUCUAAGCGUGAAGCCCUGUCCCUGAGAUGAAGUAUCUGUUCGAAAGAACUAAGACACCUUGAAGAACACGAGGUAGAUAGGGUAGGGGUAGAAGUGCUGCAAGGCAUGGAGCUGACUACUACUAAUCUGUCGAAGACUUAA